CAGCCGCCGCGGUAAUACGUAGGGAGCGAGCGUUAUCCGGAAUUAUUGGGUGUAAAGCGUGUGUAGGCGGUUAAAUAAGUCUGGGGUCCAAGCCCGAAGCUCAACUUCGGUUCGCCUUGGAAACUGUUUAACUUGAGUUUGGUAGAGGUGAGUGGAAUUUCUAGUGUAGCGGUAAAAUGCGUAGAUAUUAGAAGGAACACCAGUGGCGAAGGCGACUCACUGGACCAUAACUGACGCUCAGACACGAAAGCGUGGGGAGCAAAUAGGAUUAGAUACCCUAGUAGUCCACGCCGUAAACGUUGGAUACUAAGUGUCGGGUUACCGGUGCUGAAGUUAACACAUUAAGUAUCCCACCUGAGUAGUACGACCGCAAGGUUAAAACUCAAAGGAAUUGACGGGCACCCGCACAAGCGGUGGAGCAUGCUGUUUAAUUCGAAGCUACGCGAAGAACCUUACCUGGGCUUGACAUCCCGAUGACCGGUAUAGAAAUAUACCUUUCCCUUCGGGGACAGCGGUGACAGGAGGUGCAUGGCC
rnacentral:rRNA from 1 species